rnacentral:rRNA from 1 species
AUUGAACGCUGGCGGCAGGCCUAACACAUGCAAGUCGAGCGGAUGAAGGGAGCUUGCUCCUGGAUUCAGCGGCGGACGGGUGAGUAAUGCCUAGGAAUCUGCCUGGUAGUGGGGGAUAACGUCCGGAAACGGGCGCUAAUACCGCAUACGUCCUGAGGGAGAAAGUGGGGGUUCUUCGGACCUCACGCUAUCAUAUGACCCUAGGUCGGAUUAGCUAGUUGGUUGGGUAAAGGCUUACCAAGGCGACGAUCCGUAACUGGUCUGAGAGGAUGAUCAGUCACACUGGAACUGAGACACGGUCCAGACUCCUACGGGAGGCAGCAGUGGGGAAUAUUGGACAAUGGGCGAAAGCAUGAUACAGCCAUGCCGCGUGUGUGAAGAAGGUCUUCGGAUUGUAAAGCACUUUAAGUUGGGAGGAAGGGAAGUAAGUUAAUACCUUGCUGUUUUGACGUUACCAACAGAAUAAGCACCGGCUAACUUCGUG